ensembl:lncRNA
GAUCAAAUCCUUUUUUCUGAUCUUCAGUUCUCCCAUCUACUUACUAAAUGCUUUGAUGAAAGGCUAUAAAAGCACUGCUGAAUGAGCAGACCGCUUCAUUCCAUCACAAAGAAUAGCUUGCAACUACUACCUAAAAAGUACAGAAAUCAAACAAUUCUUAGAUCAUCUCCGACGCAAAACGUGAGCUUCGCUUAUUGUGGAUCUCCUUCAACCUCAGCUGGGCGCUGGAUAUACUUUGUCUCCGGGAGUUUCUUUCUGUCCGCAUACUUAAGUUAUGUAUUUUAUCUAUUACUUCUCAUGUGUUAAGACAUUUAUUUCUAUAUUCCAGUGGCUUAUAUUACUCAAGAACUAUACGUGCUUCCUUGCUUCAUCCCCGAAUUAAAAGCAAAACAAACAAACAAAGAAAAAAACACAAAACUCACAGUGCAGUAAAGCACUCUACAACGAUGCAGUGAAAACCAGAUUUCUUACCUUAUCUGAACUUUCCUUCAGUUAAGAAUUUUGUUUCUUACCGAGUUCACUCAAAUUCUCUCACUUUACUGGAAGCUAAAUUUCAGAAAUAAGUUAUGAAAUGUUUCCACCCUCAAAUUUCAAAAACAAACAUUUUAAUGACAUCAAACUAUUUGAAUUCUAAGGGAAAGCCUUUAUUUUCUUCUUUAUGUGAAGCGGAACUGGAACAGCCCAUGAAAAAUAAAUGAAUUUCGAAAAAUGUCUACUAUGAAUUAUUUCUAAAAUAUUAAUAGACAAUGAUACAAUAUAGUUAAAACACAAUUACGGUAUAAAAAAAACAACACAAACCUCAGUAAACUUUUCAUUUUCCUGGCUCUACUUUCUUUAAACAGUAAAUUAAUUUUUAAAAAAUACUCCAACCGCUACUACGUAUUGAAACCCAUCCUGCAUUUUAGCUUCCCUGCCCAUAUCCGAGAAUAGGAAGUUUCAAUUUUAUAUUUUCAGAAAACCUACAUUAAAUCUGUUGAAAACCCUAUUUCUAACAUUCAUCUUUUGUUAAACUAUUAGGACAAAAUAACUUCCCGACCGUGGAGUUUUAAUGCUAGGCAUGAGCACCAUUUGGCACCAGUGCCAAGAUUGGAAAUCCAGACCUGUAUUUGAACACGUACGUUUUGUAUCUCACGCAUUUUUGUUGUCUUUGAGGAGAAGAGCAUUUCCGAAGAAAGCUUGCAGCUAGGAGGACUUUCUCAUCUUUCAUUUUAUUUUGAGAAUUAUUUUUAAAAGAAAGGUAAAUUUGUACAAAAUGAAAAAUAGACCUUCAGACUGCGGUAUUUUGACGACAUUCCUCAAGUGCCUCCUCAGGGCUCUGCUCAUAAAAUACUCCACGCAGAGAGUAGUUCCGAUGUCUUAGCAGUUUCAAAAUUUUCCUUUCCUCUGCAAUGUAAUCUCAAUUUAUUUAUUUAUUUAUUUUUGAAUAAGCUUCUGUUUCCCAGCAUUUGAAUGGCAUUGUAGCUUUGUAAUGUGUUUUUGUUCCUUUCAGACUAAAAGUAAAUAAGAACGGGACCAACUUGGCAAGAAUAAAACCAUGUAUUUGCUCGAGCAACAUUUCAAGAACACCUGCACAGCUAUUUUGGCAAUGCGCUGGUAGCUCUAUUCAGCCUUCCUCGUCUGUUAUCCACCUUCAGGUACGUUGUGUCUGCUUAACGAUGAAAAACGCACAUCGUAUCCUCCACGUUCAGUUUAAGGUAUCUCGUUUUUCCACUGGUACUAUUUCAAUUUCUUCUAAUGUGAAUCAGCCAGUUCCGGGAUAGUUUCUAUUGUCUUUGUGUCAGUGAUAUUUAGGUAAAAUCAAGACUUGGCUGCGUACUUUCCCGUGUCUCUCGUUUUUCCAAAUGUGAGGAGUGCGAUAACGAACAUCUCUUCUGCUGAACAAGACCGGGCCAUGGAAAAGAGCAAGCAUGGGUUUCUGCUCGUACAAGAUCACUCAGAAAUAUCUCCUACGCUCUAUAGACAAUCACAUCACAGCUAUACUCCUGGUAUACAAUUGCUCACCGGUUCUGCUAUUAAAGCAUCUUUCAUUGCCACAGAAGCAGCAGUGAAAUUUUACACUUCCAGAGCACUUUAAAACAAAGAUCCCUUGUCUCUGCCUCCCUCGCUCCUAGCCUCUGUGUAUGCCAAACCUGCGUCGCUGGGUUUUUCUUGACUGAGCUGGAAUGCUGACAUCUAACAAAUGCGUGAGACAACUUUGCACAGUUCACACGGAAAGCAACAUGUACAACUGAGCAAUGAUCAAGGGUCAGAGAACGAAGCGUUCAUAACUUGUGUGGCCGAAGCACUCUCAUGGAGAUUAGAGCCUACGGUGGAAGCACAAGAACUGAGAACUUUCUCUUUUUGCAAACAAUACUAUUAAGAUUUCUAAUUCAUGACAGCACAGCAAAGACGUCUGAGAUGAUGCAAGUCUGGAAUUAAGGCAAAAUGUUUUAGGCAUUAGGGCCGCGACUGUCUGCUCUAAUUUACGUGGUACGUGUUUUAAAGAACGAUCAACUGUUUGACAUUGUUCACGAACUCUGAUGAAUCGCAGCUUGCAGAAGUGAUUCAGAGAUGACAAGUCUCUAAAUUUGGCUGCGUCAGUAUUCGGCAUUGUGCGCUUGCCUACACAACGCCCACUGCUUCCAAACAUAGAAUUUAGCGUUCAGUAGCUUAUACUUAAUACUUUCUGCCUCAACUUCUCACACAUCGAGCCUACUUCGUGCUGGUGAUCCUUCCUUUGAAAUGUUGCAAUACUUCCACGCUUUCCGGACUUUAAAUUCAGCAACGGACAUUUUACAGAAAUGCCUUCCAGUUGGCACUGUGCUCAAGUUAGAAGUGCCUGGGGAAAAAAAAAAAAUUAAAUGCAUUUAACUUUCCACAAACCCUCACUCUCCCAUAUAUAGAUACUUGUUGUAGGUCAGAAUUGUUUAUCCUUACAAAGCCUGAUACGUUUUCACUAAGCGCUUUAUAUAUGUCAGGUCCCUUCUCGGGUACCCUCACCGGCUCCGUGUCUUCAUCUUACUACCGUGGGAAGAUGGAGACAGACUUACUGCUCAAGCACAGACAGCGGCAGCUGGAUACACCUUUCUCUGUCGGAAUGAUAGCAACUGUUAUCAGCCAACGAGUUCCCUGAAUGAAGUCACUAGCAGUAAUGCUUCAGGUUCUGCUGCUAUCCUAUGUGAAGUUGACAAUUUACUUAAUAUGCUUAGAACAAUAAGCUUUAAUUUAAAAAUGAAGAAUACUAUAAUUACUACUCUAAACAUAAAGGGAUUCUGUCAAUAUAUUUUUGUUUGCUUUUUUAACUAAGGAGUGACAUGGCUCAUUUUUGACACAUCACCUGCGUGUGAGUGCACUUGGUGAGAGAUUAGUGACCCAAUCCUGAGAAAGCUUAAAGCCUAAAGCCUUCAAGCCCACUUUGGAGAGUAAGCCCCGCUGUCUUAAGGUAUUAAGAACUGUAAAACAUCUCAUGGGCUUAAAGUAUUGCUCGCGUUAAUUGCCAGUGCAACUGAAUCUGUGAAAACGCAACAUUUUCAUGCCUUGUCCAUGCUAAUGACUUUAGGGUAAGGAAGCAUCUUAUACAAAAUAUACUCCGCUACCUUCCUCCUCUCUCUGCUCCCUACUCCAAAAAGGGAGGAAUCGAAAGGGUAUAAAGCCAUUAGUAGCUGAGCAACUCCUUUCACAACUAAGCAAAAUUAUGGGAAAUGCAAGACUUUUGGUUUCAAGCCAGAAGUCCGGUCCUUGAGUAACCCCCUUGCUAUGUGACUACGCAGCUGCCUUGCCGACCCAGGCACUAGGGACGUUCAACAGAUGCAGACCAGUAAUAAGCAGAGCGAGCACGCGUGGCAGGAAUGCUCAGAACACAGACACAAGAAAUAGUGCAGAGCCGGUGGGCACGGCAUCACCGAGAAGCACCGCCAGCGAAGCGAUCCGUCCACCCCCCCCCCCCCCCCCCCUCCCCGACGCUGGCUGGGUCCCAGCUCUGCUACUUCUGAAGCUGUGCCGGUACAGGCUGUAAGCGCACCGAGUGAAACGCUGCCUUUCGAUUCCUGCCUUACUCUAAUAAAUAACUUCAGAUGAAUGCACUUUUAUCAGACAGCUUAUCUCACAUUUCUUUCUUGUGAAAAUAGCUCCCAAGAGACACUGCUUUAAGCACAGCCAAAGUCGCUUUUCUGAAGUGAAGCUCAAUCCAGAAAACUUACUUUCCAAAAGCAAUAAAUUACUUAGGGAUGAAGAAAAGGACGAUCAUCUCUAUAUGUGCAGCUACCUUAGCACCGAGUCAGAAAAUCAACCGCUUUCUCAGACCUCCUCCCCAGUCAAGGAACACGCUGAGCAGUUGUGGCGACAGCUGCAGGUUGCUGGGAUGAAGUUUGAGGUUACCGAGCGCUGACUCAUCCCCCCUUUGUUCUCAGUAACGCAUACGGUAGACGGGGGGAAAAUCCUUUAAAUAAAUAAAUAAGAUACAAUCCAAUCAAUUUCCUUAUUAUCGCCUCAGUGGAAAUCUAUCUUCCUUUGGGGCUUAUCAGUCUCAUUCCUAUCAGAUCACAGUAAGAGUGGAGUAGUAAUAGUCAGGAAAAGU